AAUGGAAAGUCCGGCCGUAGUGGGUGAUAGCCCCGUACAUGAAAACAUUGCUGUGGUACUAAGUUUGCGACAAGUAGGGCGGGGCACGUGAAACCCUGUCUGAACAUGGGGGGACCAUCCUCCAAGGCUAAAUACUCGUGAUCGACCGAUAGUGAACAAGUACCGUGAGGGAAAGGCGAAAAGAACCCCGGGAGGGGAGUGAAAUAGAACCUGAAACCGCAUGCAUACAAACAGUGGGAGCCUCCUUGUGGGGUGACUGCGUACCUUUUGUAUAAUGGGUCAGCGACUUACGUUAUGUUGCGAGCUUAACCGAAUAGGGGAGGCGUAGCGAAAGCGAGUCUGAUAAGGGCGUUGAGUAGCAUGGCGUAGACCCGAAACCGGAUGAUCUAUCCAUGGCCAGGAUGAAGGUGCCGUAACAGGUACUGGAGGUCCGAACCCACUAGUGUUGAAAAACUAGGGGAUGAGCUGUGGAUAGGGGUGAAAGGCUAAACAAAUC
rnacentral:rRNA from 1 species